AUACCAGCAAAUGUAUUUAUGACAGACAAUGCUCCCUCAUUCUAUGAUGCCUGGAGCGAGGUGAUGGGACCUCCUCAACAUCAAAUGUUGUGCGAAUGUCAUGUAGAUGAAAACUGGUGUGAGAGUAUCAACAAGUACAUGCAGGACAAAAUCCCGAAAGCCUUCUCCAACAAGGACUGCAAUGACAAGGAAACAAUUGAAGACAUCAUUUCAAAACUGUGUUCGCUGAAUGAGCAAAAAGAAAAAGGAAGCACAGCACGCAUUAAACACAGUGACUGCAUGACAAUGCUUCAAGCGAUAAUGGACCACCUACAGAAACCAACAGUAGAAGCUCAAGCUGCAUCUUGGCUUAAGCCAGUGCUCUCUAAAAUUCUGAGAAAAUUGGAUAGCAUUUCUCCGCUUGUAACAGACACCUCAGUAACGAGUUCACUCUCAUCAAAUAAGAAAAUUAAAAACCAGCAUCGUUCCUGCUUAAAUAAAAGGAAAGCUGUCACCACAUGCCAACGAGUGGCCAAGGCAAGUUUAGUUGACCAGAAGAUUAUUAGUGAUAGUCUGUCAAAUUCUAAUACCCAAGAGUACCAUACAGGUAUUGAUCACAGUUACGCUAUGCACAGUGGUUGCAAUAGCACGAGCAAACAGUAGAAAUUUAACAUAUAAAAUAAUUCAUCAUUAAUUAUGACACCACUUGUCCUGCACUGACAGUAUAAACAUUGCUAUUUAUAUGUUACAAUUCACUUCAUGCCACUUCAUCUUUGAGUUAUGUACCAUGACGAGUAUGCUCGUCAUUUGUAUCUUUGCAUUUUUUUCUUUUAUUAUCACAACUUAACAUAGUUAUUUCUUGUCUUUUGAUGGCUGGUGUGGUACAGCUGUUUGUAUAGCGAAUGUGCACUUUGUUUAUGUUAGACAUUAGAAAAAUCUUAGCAUUACACCUGCCUGCUCAACCAAGUGGGCUUUUUUUUUACAGAAACUUCACAUGCUCUUUUUAAAGAUUAUUUUCUUUUCCAAUUUUGUACAACUGUCUGCUCAGAAGACGUGCAUUAGUUCUUUGUGUUUCAUUAUACAACUUUUUACCACUACAUAUAUCGCACUAACGGUUUUGGGAAGGACAAGUCCAGUUGACCCUCGUUAUAAUUAAGUUGGAUCCCACAUUAACAUAUAUUCAUUAUAUCUGUUGACUAUAAUAUUCUACUGCAUUUGUUAGCUAAAAUUCCUCCCGUAUCACUUCAUUUGUGCCUUACAUAUCUUGUCUGUUUUCGUAUGUUAGGUGUUUUGUUACUGCAACUGUAUAGGCCACUUUUUAAAAUUGUGUUGGUGCUAGUUAUUGAGAGGAAUAAUUUGUACAGCAAAUUA
rnacentral:lncRNA from 1 species